rnacentral:lncRNA from 1 species
GAGCAUUGUGGUUUUGCUUUUGCAGCUCAGAUCUGUUUUUUGCCUCUACGUGCGUGGAUCUUGGACUCGAUCGUUCUGCCUCGGCGUCGGCGAUCGACUUCCGUUUGUGCAAGUCUUGCGCUUGGCGUUUUCGGCUCCGGCAGAUUUGGAAGUAUGCAGCACUAGUCUAUGCGAACUCAAACUAUGCCUUUGCUUUUUAUGUGUAGGGUUUGUCUUGUAUUUGUGUUUCCC